AAGAAGAAGAAGAAGAAGAUACAAGUUCUGGAUCCUCGGAGGAGUCAAUCCAAUAAUCUAUUCCUUUUCCUUGUCUCUAAAAUACUCAUCCUCGACUACUCUACUUGAGAUUACUGAAUAGGUUGUAUGGACUGAAAAAACAGCAGAUGUUACAGAAAUUCACAAACAGAAGACAAUUUUUCUUGAAAAGCUAGAGACAGACACAACAUCAACUCAAAAAGUUAUGCAUUGGAGAACUACUGAGCAAUAAUGAAUUUUCUAAUACAUUAACAAAACUGAGGAAAUGCAAUAAAUGAAACUACAA
rnacentral:misc_RNA from 1 species